ACUGUCCAGGCCGUGUUCUCUCGGCAGCUGCUGCAGCUGGGGGGGCUCAGUGGGGGGAGGGCGGGCGCCGUCCUGAGCCGCUUCCCCACCCCUGCCAGCCUCAUGGACGCCCUCGUGGACCCCCAAAGUGCCAGGAUGUGCUCAGUGCCCUGCGCUGCGGCCCCUCCCAGAGGAACCUGGGCCCCUCCCUCAGCAGGUCCCUCGUGCAGCUCUACGGGACCCCCGGGCCACUGCCCUGAGGGGACACCCCCUGUGCGUGUCCCCCCUGCUGCCAUCACCUCAUUGUCACUCCCUGUCACCCCAUUGUCACCUCGUUGUCACUCUCUGUCACUUCAUUGUCACCCCCUGUUACCUCGUUGUCACCCCUUGUCAUUCUAUUGUCACCCCCUGUCACUUCAUUGUUACCCUCUGUCAUCCCCUGUCACCCCGUUGUCACCCCCUGUCCAUCCCAUUGUCACCCUCUGCCGCCUCAUUGUCACCCUCUGUCAUCCCAUGUCAUCCUCUGUCACCCCCUGUCACCUCAUUGUCACCCCCAUCACUUCAUUGUCACCCCCUGUCCCUUCAUUGUUACCCUCUGUCAUCUCCUGUCAUCCCCUGUCACCUCAUUGUCACCUCAUUGUCACCCCCUGUCACCUCAUUGUCAGCCCAUGUCAUCCCAUUGUCACCCCCUGUCACUUCAUUGUCAUCCCCUGUCACCCCGUUGUCACCCCCUGUCCAUCCCAUUGUCACCCUCUGCCGCCUCAUUGUCACUCUCUGUCAUCCCGUGUCAUCCUCUGUCACCCCCUGUUGUCCCAUUGUCACCUCGUUGUCACCCCCCAAUAAAGUCCAUC